rnacentral:rRNA from 1 species
CCUACGGGUGGCUGCAGUGGGGAAUAUUGGACAAUGGGGGGAACCCUGAUCCAGCCAUGCCGCGUGUGUGAAGAAGGCCCUCGGGUUGUAAAGCACUUUCAGUGAGGAAGAACGCCUGGUGGUUAAUACCCAUCAGGAAAGACAUCACUCACAGAAGAAGCACCGGCUAACUCCGUGCCAGCAGCCGCGGUAAUACGGAGGGUGCGAGCGUUAAUCGGAAUUACUGGGCGUAAAGCGCGCGUAGGUGGCUUGAUAAGCCGGUUGUGAAAGCCCCGGGCUCAACCUGGGAACGGCAUCCGGAACUGUCAAGCUAGAGUGCAGGAGAGGAAGGUAGAGUACCCGGUGUAGCGGUGAAAUGCGUAGAGAUCGGGAGGAAUACCAGUGGCGAAGGCGGCCUUCUGGACUGACACUGACACUGAGGUGCGAAAGCGUGGAUAGCAAACAGGAUUAGAUACCCCAGUAGUC